AUUAAAUUAAUUAAUUUAAAUAAUUUAAGUAAAAUAUUGAUUUGUGGUAUCAGAAAUAUGAGUUUUCAUUUUAAAUU
rnacentral:tRNA from 1 species